rnacentral:misc_RNA from 1 species
GAUGAGGAACGCAGCGAAAUGCGAUAAGUAAUGUGAAUUGCAGAAUUCAGUGAAUCAUCGAAUCUUUGAACGCACAUUGCGCCCGCCAGUAUUCUGGCGGGCAUGCCUGUUCGAGCGUCAUUUCAACCAUCAAGCCCCAGGCUUGUGUUGGGGACCUGCGGCUGCCGCAGGCCCUGAAAACCAGUGGCGGGCUCGCUGUCACACCGGGCGUAGUAGAUUUUAUCUCGCUCAGGGCGUGCUGCGGGUUCCGGCCGUUAAAAAGCCUUUUUUACCCAAGGUUGACCUCGGAUCAGGUAGGAAGACCCGCUGAACUUAAGCAUAUCAAUAAGCGGAGGA